rnacentral:rRNA from 1 species
CCUGGUGUAGAUAGCGGAGGGGACACACCCGUUCCCAUCCCGAACACGGAAGUUAAGCCCUCCAGCGCCGAUGGUACUUGGGACGCGAGUCCCCGGGAGAGUAGGACUUCGCCAGGA